AGCAGAUGUUGUUAACUGAGACCGCACCUGCUGAGAAUUAAACAGCCAAUUACAAGCUUCCCGGCGUCCUCGCAGACCACCUCUAGGCCAAUUACCGAGGAGUUUUCUAUCUUCUAACCCUUGGAGGAAAAUCUGCGCUCCAGCAGCUGGGACCGAGGCAUGAGAGCGUUGAAUCAUGAGUGGCACCGUUCGCAAAAAUUGGUGUCUUUGUACAAAGACAGUGCCACAACACAACUCAGUGACCAUCGGGAGAGCAGCCUCAUGAUGGGCGAUGCUCCAUCAGUUUUCUCUUGCGAUCUUUUGCAUAGAUCGGUCCCGCCCCGCAUAUGGCGAUGAGGACUCAAGAGACACGGAAAACGUUUUCUUUCUGGAAAACAUGAAAUAGGCUUUGUAGAUGGACAGGAAGUCAAGGGACAAGCGGUGCGCCGCAGAGAGCGAGGACCCACUCUUCUAUUCCUUUGCGGAGGCACGGACACACGGUGUGGCCCGAAACAGCGGCAGGAGAGUGAGACCCGGGCUCCGACCGCGGUGACGCUGUCCUGGUCCCUGGACGGUUAGGAACGGUUGGGUCCUGCUACUGCCUCCGUGGGGCAGGGAGCCUCGCGAGACCAGCACUGCGCCCUACUCGGUCCACCCUGUCCCCGCUCCGCGCUAGGGGCUCACCCUGGGAACAGGGGUCGGGCGAUCCUGGUCAUUGGGGGAUCUUCCGCACUAGCUUCCAUCACAAUACCUGGCAGCUUGCAUCAGGGAUUCUCAGAGGGAUCUGUGACUCAAAAAAAGUUGAGGAUCAUUGCUUAGCCGGGCUCUCAUCUCCUGAAUCAGGGAUCCAGCACAGCACAGGAAAUAGAAGUCAGAAAUAGAGAAAGAUUGUAUGGGGGAAGGAAAUGUGAAGUGCUGAGAUGGUGCCACAGCAUCUUUGGGUCCAGAGUUCUCUCUCAGCUUAGGUAAGACCAUGUCUGAGAUGGAAGAGAGAGGGGUAGAAGGAGAGCAGGAUGGAAUGUCCUCAGAAAGGUUCUGUCAAGCAGGGGUAGGCAGAAGGUAGGCAGAGUCAAAUUCUUCUCCAAUCUGAAGUAGCUCACAGAUUGUUCCACCAAUCUGUGCAACCUCUCUCUAACCUAGGAGGUUGUUGAGGUUAGAACCCAGAAAAGAACUAGGAAAUGUGAAGCCUCCAUUUCAGAGAAUCCUUUGCUGGAAGCCAGGCAUUUCACUGAAGUCCAUUUACUCCCUGGAAUUUCUGCUCCUUUCUAUCAGUCCCUGAGGCAGAGGCUGUAAGGACAUUGGGAGAGGGGACUGAGAAGAAAGAGUAAAAACAAAGAAAAACCCCAACAUCCUGAAUCAGGUGCAUUAGAGUUAAUGAAGAAUGUAAGGACCAAUAACUUAGCCCAGUCCCCACUGAAAGUUCAGAGUGGAUGCAUUGGAAGAUUUCUCCUUUCUUACAGGUCGUGUCCUGCAACUGAAAGGCCCUGGGAGAGAGAGCCGUGAGGGCAUGGCAGUGAGGAUGGCAGUGUGGUGGAAAGGGGGAGUUUUCAAUCAGACAGCCAUGAGCUCAAAUAGCUAGUUACUAUUUACUAACUAGCUCUGUGCACUUGAGCACUUACUCUCUUUGACCUUUAGUUUCACCAGCUAAGAUGCCUCUCUACUUUAUAGGGUUGAUGUAAGGAUUAAAUAAGAAAAUAUAUAUAAAGCCACUGACAUAGAAUAGGCCCUCAAUAAAUGUUAUUUUCUUCUCUUUGAACUGCUGUCCCACCCUGGGCAGAGCCUCCAUUAGAUUGUCCCCAUGAUGUGGUACCAUACAUCCCUGCACAUGGGCCACAAAACUUCUGCAUACACACCACCCACUCAUGUCCUUGGCUGCAUUUGCACACUCAUCAGCACACACACAGCAGCCUGUGCCAUCACAGCUGAGCUGAGGGCAGUCUUCCCGACAGGUAAGAUGAGGGACUGGCAUGCUAACGCUUGGACAAGCUGUGGAAGUGCUCAUCAUAGUAAGCUUGUUUCCUGAAUGGGCUUCACCCCUCAAAAGUGUUCUGGUAAAGCUGUGAAAGGAGACUAAGGGGCUGUGGUGGGACUAACUCCAUAGGCAUUUCCUUGAGAUUAAAUGUGUUUCUUGAGGGAUACUUUGUCCACCCACCACUGCCAAGGAGACCUUAGUCUAUACGCCAGGUUGCAAUGUCUGAAGCUUUGCUGUCCAAUAUGGUAGCCAUUGGCCACAUGUGGCUAUUGAAUGCUUGUAAAGGUAGGUGGUACAGCUGAGGAAUGGAAUUUUAAAUUUGUUUAAUUUAAAAUUUAAGACAGAGAUUCGAUUCAGUUAUUGGAAAAUGUUUUAUGUUUGAAAAAACUUAGAUGUGUGAAUCCACUUUCUCAACAGUGACCUGUAUGAAAUAUAGAUUUUUCUGGUGAAAAUUUAGUAACUGAAUUGCGAUGUUGAGAUGUACUGUAAGUGUAAAAUAUACACUGGAUUUUAAAGACCUAAUAUGAAAAAAUGUUAAAUAUUUUAUGAUUGAUUUUUAUAUUGAUAAUAUAUUGAAAUGAUAAUAGUUUGGGUAUAUUGGGUUAAAUAAAGUAAGUAUUUAAAUGUAUCCGUUUCAUUUUGAUUUUUUAAUUUAGUAGCUACUAGAAAAUUUGAAAUUACAUGUGUGACUUAGAUUCUGUGUCUGUUGGGUAGCUC
rnacentral:lncRNA from 1 species